rnacentral:rRNA from 1 species
CCUACGGGACGCAGCAGUGGGGAAUAUUGGACAAUGGGCGAAAGCCUGAUCCAGCCAUGCCGCGUGUGUGAAGAAGGCCUUCGGGUUGUAAAGCACUUUCAGUGGGGAAGAAAGCCUUGGGGCUAAUACCCUCGAGGAAGGACAUCACCCACAGAAGAAGCACCGGCUAACUCCGUGCCAGCAGCCGCGGUAAUACGGAGGGUGCGAGCGUUAAUCGGAAUUACUGGGCGUAAAGCGCGCGUAGGCGGUCUGAUAAGCCGGUUGUGAAAGCCCCGGGCUCAACCUGGGAACGGCAUCCGGAACUGGCAGGCUAGAGUGCAGGAGAGGAAGGUAGAAUUCCCGGUGUAGCGGUGAAAUGCGUAGAGAUCGGGAAGAAUACCAGUGGCGAAGGCGGCCUGCUGGACUGACACUGACGCUGAGGUGCGAAAGCGUGGGUAGCAAACAGGAUUAGAUACCCUAGUAGUC